UACGUAGGGCGCAAGCGUUGUCCGGAAUUAUUGGGCGUAAAGAGCUCGUAGGUGGUUUGUCGCGUCUGCCGUGAAAACCUGGGGCUCAACCCCGGGCCUGCAGCCGAUACGGGCUAGCUAGAAUUCGGUAGGGGAGACUGGAAUUCCUGGUGUAGCGGUGAAAUGCGCAGAUAUCAGGAGGAACACCGGUGGCGAAGGCGGGUCUCUGGACAGUUCCUGACGCUGAGGCACGAAGGCCAGGGGAGCAAACGGG
rnacentral:rRNA from 1 species